rnacentral:rRNA from 1 species
UACGUAGGGCGCAAGCGUUAUCCGGAAUUAUUGGGCGUAAAGAGCUCGUAGGCGGUUUGUCGCGUCUGCCGUGAAAGUCCGGGGCUCAACUCCGGAUCUGCGGUGGGUACGGGCAGACUAGAGUGAUGUAGGGGAGACUGGAAUUCCUGGUGUAGCGGUGAAAUGCGCAGAUAUCAGGAGGAACACCGGUGGCGAAGGCGGGUCUCUGGGCCGUAACUGACGCUGAGGAGCGAAAGCGUGGGGGAGCGAACAGG